rnacentral:rRNA from 1 species
AUACGGAGGGUGCGAGCGUUAAUCGGAAUUACUGGGCGUAAAGGGUCCGUAGGCGGUCUGCUUAGUCUGAUGUGAAAGCCCCGGGCUUAACCUGGGAAUGGCAUUGGAUACUGGCGGACUAGAGUCUGGUAGAGGGUGGUGGAAUUCCCGGUGUAGCGGUGAAAUGCGUAGAUAUCGGGCGGAACACCAGUGGCGCAGGCGGCCACCUGGACCAAGACUGACGCUGAGGGACGAAAGCGUGGGGAGCAAACAGGAUUAGAAACCCCAGUAGUCC